AGGGGCCAUGUGAUAUUGAUGAGAUGUAAUUGUGGAAAUUGAGAAUUUAGAAGUGUUAUUUGAGCCUUUUUGCAGGUUGGGUAGGUCUCAAGUAUAGGGAAAACUCUGCCGGAUUUUCAGCAUGAAUUAGGCUGUCUAUUGCCUCUUUAGAGUUUUAUCUUAACUUAGUACUAAUAAAUUUAUAAUUUAAUUAUUAGGUGAUCGAUGUCAGCUAUUUUCCUGCAUCCAGCAGCCACAAUAGUCAUCGGUGUACUGCCACAGGAGGAGUUAUUUUACAGAGCAACCUGUUUUCUUCCUCGCAGAUUUAACGUCGAUUAUUUAAUUGUUUUACUAUCCUUUCUAAAUUUAAAAUCUAGAACUCUGCAUGUGUUAGUAAUAGUGUGGCCUUGUUAGAAAUUGUGUUAAUUUAAAUUUUUGAAAUUAAUAAAUGAAGAUUUGUAUGGUAUUUAAACA